CACGAGCCCAGUGUAAGUGUCCGCCCACCGAGCCGCGUGGGCGCGAACUACCUCUCUGGUGCGGUUCUACUGUUCAUAGACAAUGGCUAUGGCCACGAGAGGAGUCGGGGAUGACCGCCACACUGCACGGUAACGGCUAAACUGGAGAGGAUAACGGGCCUGCGAGGAGGAGGGAAGAUCUGGCGUCGACGCCUGGCUAAGUGUCACCCCGUGGUCCCCUUGGCAGGAUCGCUGGUGCUGGCGACGUUCUUUGUGGUGGUCAUCAACAGACAUCCUCGUUUAAGCCAGGUUUUAACAA
rnacentral:misc_RNA from 1 species